AUUGAACGCUGGCGGCAGGCCUAACACAUGCAAGUCGAACGGCAGCACAGAAGAGCUUGCUCUUUGGGUGGCGAGUGGCGGACGGGUGAGUAAUGUCUGGGAAACUGCCCGAUGGAGGGGGAUAACUACUGGAAACGGUAGCUAAUACCGCAUAACGUCGCGAGACCAAAGUGGGGGACCUUCGGGCAUCACACCAUCGGAUGUGCCCAGAUGGGAGUAGCUAGUAGGUGGGGUAAUGGCUCACCUAGGCGACGAUCCCUAGCUGGUCUGAGAGGAUGACCAGCUACACUGGAACUGAGACACGGUCCAGACUCCUACGGGAGGCAGCGGGGGGGAAUAUUGCACAAUGGGCGCAAGCCUGAUGCAGCCAUGCCGCGUGUAUGAAGAAGUGCUUCGGGUUGUAAAGUACUUUCAGCGGGGAGGAUGGCGGUGAGGUUAAUAACCUUGCCGAUUGACGUUACCCGCAGAAGAAGCACCGGCUAACUCCGUGCCAUCCGCCACCGUAA
rnacentral:rRNA from 1 species